GUUCAGCUGACGAGUCCCCAAUAGGACGAAACGCGUGUCCUGGGU
rnacentral:hammerhead_ribozyme from 1 species